ACCCGCUCUGUCGAGGAACUCUAGAUCAUUCACAAGAUCAAACAAUGUGCUGCCAACCUGGUCCUUGGAUUCCAAUGGUGAAAUGCGUUCAAGAUUGUCGCUCUCUGAAGUUUUGGAUAGUGGCGAUUUAAUGAAGUUUGCCGUUGACAAAACUGGGUGCCAGUUCCUAGAAAAGGCAGUGAAGGGCAGCCUGACAUCUUAUCAGAAGUUCCAAUUGUUUGAACAAGUUAUUGGGAGAAAAGAUGAUUUCCUUGUAAGUUUUAGUUUCUGCGAGCACACAUGACUUUUCUUUUCAGAAAUUGAGCACGAACAUCUUUGGAAAUUAUUUGGUACAAAGCGUUAUUGGAAUUUCAUUGGCAACUAAUGAUGACGGAUACACAAAGCGACAAGAAAAGUUGAAGAACUUCAUCAGUUCCCAAAUGACAGAUAUGUGCUUGGACAAAUUUGCGUGUCGUGUUAUCCAAUCCAGUCUCCAGAACAUGGAUUUAUCCCUUGCGUGUAAACUUGUUCAAGCUCUACCUCGUGAUGCUCGUCUUAUCGCAAUCUGUGUUGAUCAAAAUGCCAAUCACGUCAUUCAGAAAGUCGUAGCAGUCAUCCCACUGAAGAAUUGGGAGUUUAUUGUGGAUUUCGUUGCCACCCCAGAGCACCUCCGUCAGAUUUGUUCUGAUAAGUAUGGGUGCCGUGUUGUGCAAACUAUUAUCGAAAAGCUCACUGCUGAUUCAAUGAACGUUGAUUUAACUUCCGCUGCUCAAAAUCUUCGUGAACGAGCGCUCCAACGACUCAUGACUUCUGUGACUAAUCGGUGCCAAGAAUUAGCUACGAACGAGUAUGCCAAUUACAUAAUACAGCAUAUUGUAUCCAAUGAUGAUCUGGCCGUUUAUCGGGAAUGUAUCAUAGAGAAAUGCCUCAUGUGAGUGUUAUUGUUUAAUAUCUACUUGAUUUUUAAUCAUCAAUAUUUCAGGCGCAACCUUCUUUCGUUGUCCCAGGAAAAGUUUGCUUCUCAUGUUGUUGAGAAAGCAUUCCUACAUGCACCAUUGGAACUUCUUGCCGAAAUGAUGGACGAGAUUUUCGACGGAUACAUUCCACAUCCGUAAAAACAUUAGUUUCAGUCACAUAAAAAUGAAAUGUUUUUUCAGGGACACGGGAAAAGAUGCCCUCGAUAUCAUGAUGUUCCAUCAAUUCGGAAACUACGUCGUUCAAUGCAUGCUGACUAUUUGCUGUGAUGCUGUGUCUGGAAGACGGCAAACGAAAGAAGGAGGCUAUGACCAUGCAAUCUCAUUCCAGGAUUGGCUGAAAAAGUUGCACUCGAGAGUUACGAAAGAAAGGCAUCGCUUGUCAAGGUUAUCACUAUUGUCACAAUAAUAUUUUGAAAUUCGAAAUUCAGGUUCUCAUCCGGCAAAAAGAUGAUCGAGACGCUUGCCAAUCUCCGUUCAACUCAUCCGAUUUAUGAACUCCAAUCUUCGGGACACGAUUCAUUCAAGACGGAUUACUUCAGUACUGCUUCCGAGCACGAUGGUCCGGAGUUGGAGAAGAAUGGGAUCGAGGAAGGAAGCCUGAUGCUAGAGCCACGGAGCAAUAAGUCUUCAGUCUCUGUCAAAUUUUCUUCUUCCGGUAGUCACGGCGAUGAUUAAGGUGGAACUUUCUCACCAUAAAUCUCAUCCCACCCACUUAUGUUCUGUUGUUUUGUAAUAUUUUAAACUGGUGCAAUGAUUUCGUUUCGAUUUUAAGAUCGAUGUUGUGCCUUCCCCACUCUUAUCAUUGCCCAGUUUUGUUUUUUCUUUUCUUUUUUGUUAUUUUAUUGCUUUUUAUGCAGUUGUGUUAUUGUUUCUUUCUGUUUACUGUUCAUUGUUUUUGUUAAUUUUUUAUUUUCGAUUUUAAUGAAUCCAGAUAAAAUUAGACAACUUGGCAAAAUAUCGUUCGAGUCUUUGUCAUGCUUCCACCGAGAGCUUCCUGCUUCCAUACAAUGCCUGCUCAGAAAACAAUUUUGAAAGCGAAGAGAAAAGUUGUUCUUUGCUCGGAGAACAAAAAACUGAUAACCGACAAAUGUUGACUUUGUAAAUUUAAUCAAAUUAGAAACCAUGAAGAAUAAAUAUAGUUCAAUUAUCAUAUUGAAAUUUAUCUUACAAUUGCAUCGAUUUCAAAAUAAUGGGACUCUCAGAAAAUAGAAAAACAAAAAUUGGAUACUGGGGAUGAGGAAGAACUCCGCGAACAUUGGCGGUCCUUCUCUCAUGUGGUCCUCGUAUAGGUGGUGGCAAUCCUCUCAUUGUUAUCCAACAUCGAGAAAAUGUUCUUCGGCUAGAACUCUGAAACAAAAAUACUUUCAAAUUAAAAUUGUCAAGAUAAAUUCGUACUUCCUGACACAAUUUGUGUUGUUGCAGCGUUGAAUUCGAUUCCAAACCAAGUGGCAAGACCAAGACCCAGCAAUGAUGAUGGAAUAGUUGAAUUGACAGAAUUCCUCGAGCAUAUCAGCAAUGGAUGUUGAUGCAAGUGGAUGCAAUGUUCUUCUUUUGUUUCUCAUCAACGUUUGCCUUAUGAUUGUGAAGUGACUUGAUGAACUCUCUCUGCCAUGCUUAAAGAACUUGUUCAGCAGCAAUUUCGUUCCAUGCAUCAAUGUCUAAUCCAGCCUUCAUAGAGUUUCUUCCAGGCUUCUGCUUGAAUCUCAAGAAAACAUAGGCGGGGCUUGCAACGAGAAAAACUGAUUGAAGAGCAUCAUCUCCUGAUAGUUUUCCUCCCUUCUUGGCACGUCUUGGAUCUCCUAGUAUCAUAUCUUCAAGCCAAUUAAGAACGUUAGAUGCGAAACCAGAACAUCCACUGUGUAUACAUAUUCAUCACUUCGGACCAUUUGUCUUUGUUAUCUUUCAACCAUUCGAAAACAGACUUCCGGUAUUAUUUAUAAUCUGAAACAUGACUUUAUAUUUUAAUAGAAAAACGAAUUUACUUAAAUACAGUCUUUCAAUUCUCUGGCUUUUUGCUUUUUCUCUUUUUCUUCUGCAGCUCUGGUUUCCUCCGGUGACAAAGUAGUCGUAGUUGGAAUAGGAGCAGUUGUUACUGGAAUAUUUGCUGGUACUGCAUCUUCAACUGCUGGAAUCGCAUCUACUGGUCUUUAUUCUUAAUCUUAAAUUUUAUGGCAAAUACUGUUUUACUACUUGAUCUUUUACUAUGUAUCUCUUUUACUACAAGAUCUCUUUUACUACGGAAUCUCUUUUACUACGAAUUCCGCAUUUAGAUCUUUUACUACAAUUGGCUCUUUUACUACGUGAUCUCUUUUACUACCAUUUGACCACAUAUAUCUUUUACUACGGAAAAUACUUUUUUACUACCUCAUUUUUUACUACGUGGAUCUUUCACUACGGUUUUUUAUUCCGAUGUUUUGCUACAGUUUGUAUCUUUUGCUACGGUAGACAUUUUUACUACAAUGGCAGGGAUUGUACUUUUCACUAUGUUUCGUAUCUUUUACUACUAAUUUUUUACUACGAAUUAAAAAUUAAUGUCUAUAGUAUUUUAUAUUCUAGAUAUAAACAAAUGUAUGAAUUUUUUUUCAAAAUACAUAGGUCAUAAUUGUAGAUGGAGUUAAUGGAGGGAGACUGUUGAGUUACUGUAGUGGUAUUGUGGAAAUAACAGUUUUCAGAUUAUAUAGUGUUUUUUUUAAUUUCUGGAAAUUUAUUCACUAUGAAAUGAGCAGAACUUAUUAUGGCCAUUUGGAUCUAGAAAUUAAAAAAAACACGAUAUGAUCUCUUGCUCUCUUGUAAAACUUUUGUAAAAAUUUCAGAAACAUUUAAAAAGUCCUCUAUAAAUGUUUUAAAACUCAGAAGAUUUUCUGAAAAUGAAAAUGUAGGUAUCCUAUCUCGGUCGUCAAUUUAUUUGUCAUAGUUUUCAACUACAAAGUUGUUGAAUAUGGUAUGAUCUACGAUUUGUCAGUUGAACAUUUUUUUACCAAAUUGUUUUUUCGCGGAGAUAUCGGUACUUGGAGUCAAUACGUUUUAUGAACUAACUUUUGACAACUUAUCUCCGUUUUUUUUUCAAAUCUAAAAUCGUGAUAUAAACAUUCAAAUUGACCGAAAACAAUAAUAAUUUUAUACAAGAUUCGAUAAAUUUAGAAAAAAAACAUUUCUAAAGUGUUGAUCAAAAGUUUCAAAAUGUCAGCUGAAGUCAAAAUUUUAAACACCUGACAGAUAACUGACCGAACCCGCAAGUUUUUUAUUACAUUAUAGACUUAUACAUAUAGACAUUAUAGACAAAACUUAUAGAGCAACGGGUAUGGAACUAAUUUGUUGGCUAUGCGAAAAAAAAAAGAAUUACUCCCACAAUACCACUACAGUAACCCAACAGUCUCCCUCCAUUAACUCCAUCUACAAUUAUGACCUAUGUAUUUAAAAAAAACUAUUCAUACAUUUGUUUAUAUCUAGAGUAUAAAAUAUUAUAGACAUUAAUUUUUAAUUCGUAGUAAAAAAUUAGUAGUAAAAGAUACGAAACAUAGUGAAAAGUACAAUCCCUGCCAUUGUAGUAAAAAUGUCUACCGUAGCAAAAGAUACAAACUGUAGCAAAACAUCGGAAUAUGAAACCGUAGUGAAAGAUCCACGUAGUAAAAAAUGAGGUAGUAAAAAAGUAUUUUCCGUAGUAAAAGAUCUAUGUGGUCAAAUGGUAGUAAAAGAGAUCACGUAGUAAAAGAGCCAAUUGUAGUAAAAGAUCUAAAUGCGGAACUUGUAGUAAAAGAGAUUCCGUAGUAACAGAGAUCUUGUAGUAAAAGAGAUACUUAGUAAAAGAUCAAGUAGUAAAACAGUAUUUGCCUUGAAGGCAGUAAGCAAAUUCGUUUUUUUUUCUAGUAAAAUAUAAAACCACGUUUCAGAUUGUAAAUCAUACCGGGAGUCUGCUUUCGAAUGGUUAAAAGAUAACAAAGACAAAUGGCCAGAAGUGAUGUCUGAAAACAUGUACCCACAGAAUGUUGAUUACGCAGCAGAGAUGACUGGAGGAUGUUCUGGUUUCGCAUCUAACGUUCUCAAUUGGCCUGAAGAUAUGAUACUUGGAAAUCCAAGACGUGCCAAGAAGGGAGGAAAACUAUCAGGAGCUGAUGCUCUACAAUUCGUUUUUCUUGUUGCAAGCCCCGCCGAUGUUUUCUUGAGAUUCAAGCAGAGCCUGGAAGAAACUCUGGAAACUCUCUCUCUCUAUGAAGAACAUUGCAUCCACUUGCAUCGACAUCCAUUGCUGAUAUGCUCGAGGAAUUCUGUCAAUUCAACUAUACCAUCAUCCUUGCUGGAUAUGCUCUCAUGCUGGCAUAUGCUAUUGUUACUAAUUCUCGAUUUGACAACUGCCUUCCGGCUACAGAAUCAUCAAUGGGGGUUCGCCCUUGCAGGAGUUCUUGUCGUCACAUUCGCUUCAGUGGCAGGUAUUGGUCUCGCCACUUGGUUUGGAAUAGAAUUCAACGCUGCUACAACACAAAUUGUACCAUUCCUCACUCUUGGAAUCGGUGUUGAUAAUAUGUUCAUGUUAUUGCACAACUAUCGUGACGUUGUUAAACUUGCUGGCGGACACGCUGAGAUGGCUAUCCUGAUGCGUGAAACUGGAAUGUCAAUUCUGUGCACUUCGAUCAACAACAUUCUUUCCUUCCUCACUGGAACUCUUCUACCAAUUCCAGCUCUGCGAUCAUUCUGUGCUCAGUCCAGUAUUCUUCUCACAUUCAAUUUCAUAGCUAUCCUUACAAUCUAUCCAGCGAUCAUUUCUAUUGAUCUUCGACGAAAGAAGGCUCAGCGUCGUGAUUUCGACACUAGAGAAGAAUCGUACUCGAUGAUUUCUAAACCAAAGAUUCAAAGUAAACGAAUUAUUGGAGCACUUCGGAAGCUUCGAUUAUGCAACAGUUCGACGGAAUAACUCAAGCGCAGAUGGCAUCGAGCGAUGAUCCAGCUCCAUGGUCUCUUCAUUCAUUCAUCCGUUACUACUACAUUCCAUUCAUUUCUAAACCAGCAUCUAAAGUAGCAAUCAUCGUUGGCUGCUGUGCUUUGCUCGGUGCAUCAUUUGUUGGAAUGCGUCAGUCGACACUCGGUCUUGAAUUGGGAGAUGUUCUACCAGAACAUACUGCACCUGCACAGUUCUUGAGAGCCAGAGACAAGUACUUCAGGUAAGAAGUUCGUUUUUGAUUCAAAACAUUUUUUUUUCUUUUUUCAGUUUCUACCCAAUGUUCGCAGUCAUCAAGGGACCUAACAUUGAUUAUGCUCACCAGCAACGCCAGAUUGACAAUUACCGACAGUCGAUUGGAUCUUCAAAAUAUGUGAUUAAAAAUAAAAACGAAGAGCCAUCAGAAAAGUAUUGGCUGGGAUUAAUGCGAGACUGGCUCAUUAGUAUUCAACGCGGAUUCGAUGAAGAAGUUGCUAAAGGAUCAUUCAAUCUUACAUCUGGAACAGUUAUUGGCAGCAAUGUUUCCGAGGAUGCUCGUCUUGCUCACGCUCUCAUGUGCUCUCAUGGUUCUCUAUUUGAGUGUGCUGGAAGAAUAGGAAAGAUUCGACUAGUUGAUGCAAGUGGAAUUAUCAACUCUGAUGGAUUCUACAACUUUCUUCCCAACACCACCAAAAUGGGAAUUGAGCAAGAAUAAUACCGAAAACUUCAUCCCAACUGCUGAGCCACUUGCAUAUUCGCAGAUUCCAUUCUACUUAACUGGCCUCACGGAUACUGCUGUGAUUGUCGAUGCCAUAAAGGACAUCCGAAGUGUUUGUGAACGAUUUACCGAUCAAGGACUUCCAAAUUUCCCACAAGGAAUCGCAUUCACAUUCUGGGAACAAUAUCUUUUCUUGACUGGAAAUCUUAUGCAAGCCAUUUCGAUCAUUACCAUCUCUGUCUUCUGUGUCAUUUCCGUUCUUCUUUUUAAUCCAUGGGCUGCACUUAUGGUUGUUUGUAUUCUCGGAAUCAUGACUUGCGAACUUGCCGGAUUCAUGGGACUCGUUGGAAUUAAGCUCAAUCCGGUUUCAGCCGUAACUUUGAUCACCGCAGUUGGAAUUGGAGUCGAAUUCACUGUUCAUGUGGUUGUCUCAUUCCUGACGGCGCUCGGAACAAGAUCUCAACGAACGUCAUCUGCAGUUGAUCGAGUUUUUGUUCCAGUAAUUCAUGGAUCAUUCUCCACACUUCUCGGUAUUUUGAUGCUUGGAUUCUCAGUUUGAGUGAGUUUUACAGAAGUAUGGAUGUCAUCAGAAUUUUAUUUUUCAGAUUUGUUGUCAAAUAUUUCUCUAUUGUCAUGACGGCUCUGAUUUGCAUUGGAACGGACUAAUUCUUCUCCCAGUUUUAUAAUCUUGUUUUGUUCCAAGAAGAGAGAUAAAAUGUUUUGUUCCAAGAAGAGAGAUAAAAUAGAGAUUCCGUAGUAAAAUAUCCAAUUGUAGUAAAAGAUCUAGAUGUGGAAUUCUUAGUAAAAGAGAUUCCGUAGUAAAAGAGAUCCUGUAGUAAAAGAGAUGCGUUGUAAAAGAUCAAGUAGUAAAACAGUAUUUGCCCAAAGUCUGACCAGCGAAUCAUAUCAUCAACUGACAGCGCACUCAACGACGUCCCAAGUGAUCGGAGUGAGGAUUUUGGGAGAGAUGGAUGCGGCUCAAAAGCUUUCGAUCCAUCGCAAAAAUAAUCUAUUGGAGUAAUCCAAAUGCAUAUCAUAUCGAUGACGUCACCAAGCGAGGAAGCGGCAGAAUCGGCUGCGACAGAUGGUGGAGCUGGUUUGAAGCAGAUGUCGGAUAGAGACCAGUCCCUAAAAUGAUCAAUUGUUACAAGAAAAAUAUAUUGGUAGUCUUCACUUACACUCCAUGAACUGAAACGUUGAAACUAGCGAUGUGCUUCAUAAUCUCGGCGUGUUUUAGAAGAGCGAAGAGGUCCUGCAGCAAGUGCAUCUUGUCCCACACGUUUUUUUUAUUUUCCAAUAAUCCACAUUAAUUGUAAUCAAUGUUGCAAUCUGAAAAGUGAAAAUCAGCUAAAUCAGAAAAAAGGAAACAACUUACGUUGAGAGUUUAAAUAUAUAAAAACCAGCCGUUCGCACGCGCUGAAGCGCGUGCUCCGACUGGCGUACUCAAAAUUAAAAUCAAAUUCUGAAAUUUCUGAGCCUUUCUUUGCAGAUGAAACGUUUUUCCCUGUUUUCCGGAAGUUCUCGAGCAACAUAAAUAUCUACAAACUAUGGAACAAACGGCCUUCAUUCCGAGAUGACAAACUUUUUGGUGGCAAAGGUUCUUUGGGGGCAUAGUAUCCAAGGAGACAAAGUAUCCAGUAGACAAACUGGGGUGUAUCUUGGGGGGCAUAUCUUUGGUGACAACCUUUUUUUCAACUAGAUUUUUAUAUGUAUUUUUCAACUAAUUUUUGUUCACAUUUUUCUGGAAUAAGUUUUUUAAUGCAAUUUUCAAUCGAUUAUCGGUUAUAAUUCCCUCACAAUUAAAUGUAUGAACGAUGGUCUUUUGGGAAAAGCUGUAAAAGGUCCAACUAACUUGGAAUAUCGUGAGGCUCUUCCUGAUGGUCUGAUCCUUCAGCUCCGAGGGAUCACAUAGGUACCUUCUGAUGUUCUGAUCCUUCAGAAAAGAAGGAUCGUAAGGGUACCUCCUGAUGGUCUGAUCCUUCAGCUCCAAAGGAUCACGAGGCUCUUCCUGAUGUUCUGAUCCUUCAGCUCCGAAGGAUCACAUGGGUACCUUCUGAUGUUCUGAUCCUUCAGAUAAGAAGGAUCGUAAGGGUACCUCCUGAUGGUCUGAUCCUUCAGCUCCAAAGGAUCACGAGGCUCUUCCUGAUGUUCUGAUCCUUCAGCUCCGAAGGAUCCGACGUCAUCAUCUCGAAGAAUCUUACGAUAUUCCAAGUUAGUUGGACGUUUUACAGCAUUUUCCCAAAAGAUCAUUGUUCAUGCAUUCAAUUGUGAGUAGUCAAGGCCGAAAAUCCAUGGAAAAUUGCAUUUAAAAACUUAUUCCAGUAAAAUAUGAACAAAAAAUGGUCAAGAAAUAUAUAUAAAAAAACUAGUUGAAAAAGUUUGUCACCGAAGAUACGCCCGGUCAGAGACAAAUGGCACUUUGUCGACUGGAUACCAUGUCACUUUGGAUACUUUGUCCCCAAAAAUACCUUGCCACCCUAAAAGUUUGUCCCCUCGGAAUGAGGGCCAGUUACCAGUGGCCAUAAUCGUGUGAUUAUUAUUUGGGAUGUUCGAAGUGUUUGCUCCGCCCUUUCUGGAUCACAAUAGACAAUUGCUUCUUCUACUUCUUGAAUGUCUCAUAAUUCUUCUUAUUUUUAUCUAAUUUAUUGCUUCUCCUUUCUAUUUUGUAUAUUAACUCCCAAAAACGCCCAUUCUUCCCCAAAACCAUCUAAAACUUACCAAUAUUUCCCGAUACCCCUGACAGGUUAUCCUGAAUAAUGAUUGUGAUUCUCAAAUUUCUUCUAAUCCCGUUAAUUCCCCAAAUAUUCGAAUGUAACUUUUUUUGGAAUUUUUUUGUUUUCUAGUUUAUAAAUAAACAAUAUGUUUGAAAAACAAUCGUAAUUUGCGUUUUAGAUGGUUAAACGGUAGGAAGCUUAAGCUUCCUACAACAUCCAAAUACAAUGCAAUAUUUUCUGAAAUUCUAAAUAUCAAAACAUCAUCCGGAAUAUGGAGAUUUAAUGCAACUCUAUAGAGGUUUAUGGGGACUUAGUCUUCUGGAAAUUGAAUUAUGUGAUUAUGAAUUAAUUUUAAAAAAACCAAUCCCAAUCAUACGAUCGUCGACGACGAUCGUCCCUCGCGUCUCGCGAGAGCCAACUGGUUAUAGCUUUUCGGGAGGUUUAAAUGUUUUAUCAAUUUUAUACGGUACGGUCUGGAAUAUUCCACAAUUUUUUAUCUGUUUUAACAGAGAAUAUCUCUCCAUGGAGAUGCUAAAAUUUUGAGAGAUAAAUAAGCAAAUCGCAUUGUUUGAAAAUUUCAAUUUGGAUACGGUAGACAAUGACAAAGUACGCAAACACCAGAGUAUGUGACACACUUUCGUCAUUCUCAAAUUCAAUUUGAAAUAUUAUUUUCUUAUUCCUAUUCUCUAUUUUCUGUGAAUUGAUAGUUUUUCUAUAAGUAACCAUUCGAAUAAAAUUAUCAACUAAUCGACAUGGACCAAUCAAAAAUGCGCUAUACAAAUCAGUUCAGAAAAGUUGGUUUUCAGCCAUUAAUAUUGAUAAAUGGCCUAAAUUUUACAGACUCCGCAAAAGCCCACAUCUACAGAGGUUGGAAAUCAUCAUACUCCCGCACAUUCGCCGAUGGCGCAGCAUGAGACAUCAAUGUGGAACUUCAACUCUCUCAACCCGUAUUUCUCAAUGCUCAAUAUGAACGAUGGGAUGAAUUAUGCUCGCCAUCAACAGAAUCACAUUGUUACAUCGCGGCCACCAACCCCGCUAACUGAUUUGAUGAGCCUCCGGAGUUUUCAGAGCUUUGUAAGUUAGAGUAGCUAAUUUUUGGUUGUUUUCAUUACUGAUUUGCAGCCCAAUGUGUUCAUGCCGGUCUCGCGUAGCCGAACUUCAUCAUUCAUUCAGUCUGAUACGGAUUCCUCGCGUCUCGAGCCGGACGAUUUUUCACAAAAUGUCCGAUAUUGCUCUACCGAGAUUGAUCGUAACAAUAGUUCUUCGAAAAAUGACCAUUUGAAAUAUUCGAGG
rnacentral:sRNA from 1 species